GACGAACGCUGACGGUGUGCUUUAGACAUGCAAGUCGAACGAGAAAGCCCUUCGGGGUUAGUAAAGUGGCGAACGGGUGAGUAACACGUGGGCAAUCUGCCCCUCGCAGGGGGACAACCGGAGGAAACUCCGGCUAAUACCCCGUAAGUUCAAAGGGAGGCAUCUCUCUUCGAAGAAAGGUAGCUUCGGCCAUCCGGCGAAGGAUGAGCCCGCGGUGCAUUAGCUAGUUGGUGGGGUAACGCCUACCAAGGCGACGAUGCAUAGCUGGUCUGAGAGGAUGAUCAGCCACGCUGGGGCUGAGACACGGCCAGACUCCUACGGGAGGCAGCAGUCGGAAUCUUGCGCAAGUGGGCGAAAGCCUGACGCAGCAACACCGUGUGUG
rnacentral:rRNA from 1 species